GCGGAAACAGCAAUCCAUUAGAAGAGUCACGUAGAGAAAGAAUUCUACUGUCUUCUAAGGUUUAAAAGUCCAUCAUCAAUAGUUUAUCCCUGUAAUAACAAUCAAUAUACAUCUUUAAUCAUCUUUGCACUACAGGCCAAAGAUAUUCAUUUGUAUCACCAGUUGGUCAUGUUCAUCUCAACACCUGUUCAUCUUUGCACUACAGGCCAAAGAUAUUCAUCAGUUAAUCGUUCAUCUUUGCACUACAGGCCAAAGAUAUUCAUUUAUAUCACCAUUUAGGACUGAGGAUGAUGAAAAACAUUUUUAAAGAAACGAAUCCAGUGAAACAAAAUGACAAGGAUUAAGGAUUAAGGAUUCGUACUUUGUUUUACCCAUGUCCAAAAAUACUUCGAAAAUAAUCAUAUUGGUGUAAAAUUCAAGAAUGAUCAAAACAUGGAUACAAUCAAAGCUAGUAUCCAGAAUAGAUAUUUUGGACAAAAAGAAAAAUUUUUAUUUUUCGGUGAAUAGUGCCGUAUUCGUGAAUAGUGUCGUAUACGUGAAUAGUGCCGUAUACGUGAAUAGUAACCCCGACACAACAAGUUCCAAAUUUGAUAAAAAAGUUCACCAAUACUUCGGCAUAAUGAUAUUGAAAAAAAAAUAUCAUUUAAGAAGAAAAUAAUACCCCUUACCUCAAAAUAAUCGUACUUCUGACUGAAUUUCGGUAUAGUGCUGACAGAAACCCGCACCGUAUAGCAACACUCAAAGUAUACUCACAAGAAUACGCUCGAUAAUUUAGAGAGAGAAAGAGAGAAAACUUAGUUUCUGGUGUGAUUUUCAAUUCUAACUUAGCCCUCUAUUUAUAGGAAAAUGUUAGAACGCCAAAGGAGAC
rnacentral:lncRNA from 1 species